ACGGAAGGCAGCAGUAGGGAAUAUUGCACAAUGGGGGGAACCCUGAUGCAGCAACGCCACGUGUGGGAAGAAGCAUUUCGGUGUGUAAACCACUGUCGUGAGGUAAUAAUUCUCGGUCUCGGCCGAGUUGAAUGUACCUCGAAAGGAAGCACCGGCAAACUUCGUGCCAGCAGCCGCGGUAAUCCGAGGGGUGCAAGCGUUGUUCGGAAUCACUGGGCGUAAAGGGAGCGUAGGCGGAGAAGCAAGCAGUCUGUACAAUACCGGGGCCCAACCACGGACCUGCAGAAUAGACUGGGUCUCUUGGAUAGUUCAGGGGCAGGCGGAAUUCCUGGUGUAGCGGUGGAAUGCGUAGAGAUCAGGAAGAACACCGAUGGCGAAGGCAGCCUGCUGGGGACUCAGCGACGCUGAGGCUCGAAAGUGCGGGUAGCAAACAGGAUUAGAUACCCUGGUA
rnacentral:rRNA from 1 species